UGUUAUUUUUUUAUUAUUACAGUAUAUAUUUACAUAUGCAGCUCAUCAAUUUUAUAUUAUGUGAGAAAGACUCACACUCACCACACUUCUUCACUACACUUCUUUUACGCAUAUCGCUGUCUUUCAAUUUCCCAAAACCCUCUUUCUCUUGAUCCAAGAAACUGCUCUAAUUACUUUCUUCAACCCUUAUUUUUAUGUAAUUUCUUCACACACAUGCAUAAUUGGCAUUCGAUCCGAUUUGUCUAAGAUUUUAUGUAAUUUUAGUCAUUAUCAGGAAUUUCUGUAUUACCAAUUGGGUUUGUGAUUCUGGGCUCUAAUCUGAUUCCAUGAUGUGAAUUUGGGGUUGUUUGUUUGGGGAAUUGUUGUUGUUGAAAGAGUGAUUUUUAAUUUCGGACGAAACUCUGGAUUCAACCAUGGAUAUUUGCGUGGAUACUGCUGAGAUGAGUUCAUAUUUCAGCUUAUUUGCUGCCUUAUCAUAUGGAAUUGCUUCAAUGGCCAUGGUUUUCAUCAAUAAAGCAGUUCUCAUGCAGUAUGCAUCGUCAAUGACCCUUCUCACUCUCCAGCAAUUGGCAACAACCAUGCUUAUAUAUUGUGGGCGGGUGAUGGGAUACACAAAAGCCAAAGGAGUUAAUGUUGAGACUGCCAAAAAGCUCAUCCUAGUUUCAUUAUUCUACAAUGCAAAUGUGGCAUUUGCUUUAGCAAGUUUGAAAGGAGUAAAUAUUCCGAUGUAUAUUGCCAUAAAAAGACUUACACCGCUUGCUGUAUUAAUUGCUGGGUUCUUUUCUGGAAAGGGGAGACCUUCGACACAGGUAAUUCUUUCGGUAGUAUUGACUGCUGCUGGGGUUAUGAUUGCAGCGCUGGGAGAUUUUUCUUUUGACCUUGUUGGAUAUAGCAUGGCCUUUACUUCUGUUUUCUUCCAGACCAUGUACCUUGUGUUGGUGGAGAAGUCUGGUGCAGAGGACGGACUUUCAUCAGUAGAGAUCAUGUUCUAUAACAGCUUUUUGUCUUUACCAUUUCUGGUAUUUCUUAUCAUAGCUACAGGAGAGUUUCCAGAUUCUUUGUCAUUGUUAUUUGCAAAGGCCCAAACUUUUUUGGUAAGAACAAUUCCCCCAAAGGAAGUCCCGCACAUCUAUACAGCAACAUGUUGCUUCAUUGGACCAAGCUUGACCAUGAGCAUGAUCCUCACCGAAGGGUCCAAUAUUGUCAAGACGAUCCUUGCUGCACAACUCAGCUACUUAUUGUCUAUUGGAAAUGUUUCCCACAGCUAAGUCUCAUGUUGCUCAACCAUGUGUUAGCAUAAACCCCUAACUUAGCUGACAAGUUUCCAUUGCAUAUUAGGUCCUUGUUGCGCACCUUGAACAGCCAGCCACUGGGUCAUCCUUGGUCCUGGCCCCCAUACAACACUAAGGUCACUUGUGUGCCCACAGCAUUGCACGAACGUGACGCUAGAGUAAGUCAACAUGUCAAUCCAUUGUCUGCAAGAAGCAUUACACCAAUCCGCACACCAAGCUCAUGAUGCUCAACACAAGAGAAGGUUUCAUGCGAUCAUCGAUUGCCUACAAGUUGCGAUAGUGCGGCUGCUCAGUAUCACAUAUCCUGGACUACAAGACAUAGGCAAGAGUUCUUCAUUAUCAUUUUUGGUGAUUGUUCUUCUUUCAUUGGUGAUGGGCAUAGUUCUCAACUACACGAUGUUCUUAUGUACAAUAGUGAACUCGGCUUUAACGACAACCAUCGUUGGGGUCCUUAAGGGG